rnacentral:rRNA from 1 species
CCUACGGGUGGCAGCAGUGAGGAAUAUUGGUCAAUGGACGAGAGUCUGAACCAGCCAAGUAGCGUGAAGGAUGACUGCCCUAUGGGUUGUAAACUUCUUUUAUAAAGGAAUAAAACGAGGCACGUGUGCCUUUUUGCAUGUACUUUAUGAAUAAGGAUCGGCUAACUCCGUGCCAGCAGCCGCGGUAAUACGGAGGAUCCGAGCGUUAUCCGGAUUUAUUGGGUUUAAAGGGAGCGUAGAUGGGUUGUUAAGUCAGUUGUGAAAUUUUGCGGCUCAACCGUAAAAUUGCAAUUGAUACUGGCAGUCUUGAGUACAGUUGAGGUAAGCGGAAUUCGUGGUGUAGCGGUGAAAUGCUUAGAUAUCACGAAGAACCCCGAUUGCGAAGGCAGCUUACUAAACUGUGACUGACAUUGAUGCUCGAAAGUGUGGGUAUCAAACAGGAUUAGAUACCCGGGUAGUC